rnacentral:tRNA from 69 species
GGGGCUAUAGCUCAGCUGGGAGAGCGCUUGAAUGGCAUUCAAGAGGUCAGCGGUUCGAUCCCGCUUAGCUCCACCA